UACAGAGGGUGCAAGCGUUGUCCGGAAUCACUGGGCGUAAAGGGCGCGUAGGCGGCGUGUCAAGUCAGGCGUGAAAGCCCCGGGCUCAACCUGGGAACCGCGCUUGAGACUGGCAUGCUCGAGUUCGGGAGAGGAUGGUGGAAUUCCCAGUGUAGAGGUGAAAUUCGUAGAUAUUGGGAAGAACACCGAUGGCGAAGGCAGCCAUCUGGACCGACACUGACGCUGAGGCGCGAAAGCGUGGGGAGCAAACAGG
rnacentral:rRNA from 1 species